CCUACGGGAGGCAGCAGUCGAGAAUCAUUCACAAUGGGGGAAACCCUGAUGGUGCGACGCCGCGUGGGGGAAUGAAGGUCUUCGGAUUGUAAACCCCUGUCAUGUGGGAGCAAAUUAAAAAGAUAGUACCACAAGAGGAAGAGACGGCUAACUCUGUGCCAGCCGCCGCGGUAAUACAGAGGUCGCAAGCGUUGUUCGGAAUCACUGGGCGUAAAGCGUGCGUAGGCGGUUUCGUAAGUCGUGUGUGAAAGGCGCGGGCUCAACCCGCGGACGGCACAUGAUACUGCGAGACUAGAGUAAUGGAGGGGGAACCGGAAUUCUCGGUGUAGCAGUGAAAUGCGUAGAUAUCGAGAGGAACACUCGUGGCGAAGGCGGGUUCCUGGACAUUAACUGACGCUGAGGCACGAAGGCCAGGGGAGCAAACAGGAUUAGAUACCCGGGUAGUC
rnacentral:rRNA from 1 species